CCCCAUUUGGCAGUUGGAAAAUAGAAAAGGAUUUAUUAAUAACUGAAGCUAGAGCUGUUGGAAAUGAAGCAUCAAGGUUUCCUACACAAAGGGAUUAGGAGGUAAUGGAGUCUUGCUAUGUGACCCAGAGCUGGAAUGCAAUGGAGGGUGAUCGCGGCUCACUGCAACCUCUGCCUCCCGAGUUCAAGCGAUUCUCCUGCCUCAGCCUCCCGAGUAGCUGGGAUUACAAGCGCAUGCCACCACGCCUGGCUAAUUUUUGUAUUUUUAGUAGAGAAGGGGUUUCACCAUGUUGGCCAGGCUGGUCUCGAACUCCUGACCUCAUGAUCCACCCACCUCAGCCUCCCAAAGUGCUGGGAUUACAGGCCUGAGCCACCGUGCCCAGCCGACUGAACUAUAAUUUAUUUAACAGGUUCCCUAUUGGUAAAUAUCCCGGUUGUUUCCAAUUUUUUUGCUAUUGGAAGCAAUAUUGCAGUGGACAUUCUUGCACAUACAUCUUUGAUAUGCCUUGGAGCACUUUUAGGGAAAUUCUGUAGGCUAAAUUCCCAGAGAGACUUCCUUUUAAAACAAUAUGCUUCAUCAUCUAUAAUUUUCAUCUUAUUCCAAAUGUCCUGACAUAAAAGUCUGUUCCUGAUCAAACUUGAAUAAAAUGCUUAGCAUAUAGUACACAUGAAACAAAUAUCAAUUUCAUGGCCAUUGUUACCAUUAUUUCAUGAUAUCAUUAAUCCAGUGGAUAGAAGCUCAUUCCUUCAGUCAACAAUUAUUGAUGAGCUUCUGCCAUAUAAUAGGUCUGAGGCCCAACAGUGAACAGACAUAGACCCUGCCCUCAAGAAGUUGACAGUCUAGAAACUGAUGGAUGUCUCAACCAGCAAUUACAACAUCGUGAGAUGAGUACUACAAAAAUGCUAACUAGCCAAGUGCUGUGGCUCACACCUUGGCCUCAACUACUUAGGAGGUGGAGGUGGCAGGACUGCUUGAGCCCAGGAGAUGGAAGUUGAAAUGACCUAUGA
rnacentral:lncRNA from 1 species